rnacentral:rRNA from 1 species
GUUAUAUGGUCAAGUGACUAAGCGUAUACGGUGGAUGCCUUGGCAGUCAGAGGCGAUGAAGGACGUUGGAGCCUGCGAAAAGUCUCGGGGAGGUGGCAACCAACCUUUGAUCCGGGAAUGUCCGAAUGGGGAAACCCACCUGUUGUAAGGCAGGUAUCGUUAACUGAAUACAUAGGUUAACGAGGCGAACGCGGGGAACUGAAACAUCUAAGUACCCGUAGGAACAGAAAUCAAUUGAGAUUCCCCCAGUAGCGGCGAGCGACCGGGGAGGAGCCUGCAAGUGAUAGCUUGUGCGUUAGUGGAACGGUCUGGAAAGUCCGGCGAUAGAGGGUGAUAGCCCCGUACACGAAAACGCGCUUGUGGUACUGAGCUUGCGACAAGUAGGACGGCACACGUGAUAUGUUGUCUGAAGAUGGGGGGACCAUCCUCCAAGGCUAAAUACUCCUGACUGACCGAUAGUGAACCAGUACCGUGAGGGAAAGGCGAAAAGAACCCCGGAGAGGGGAGUGAAAUAGAACCUGAAACCGUAUACGUACAAGCAGUGGGAGCCCCUUCGUGGGGUGACUGCGUACCUUUUGUAUAAUGGGUCAGCGACUUAUUGUCUGUAGCAAGCUUAACCGUUUAGGGGAGGCGUAGGGAAACCGAGUCUUAAUAGGGCGAUUCAGUUGCAGGCAAUAGACCCGAAACCGGGCGAUCUAUCCAUGGCCAGGCUGAAGGUUGGGUAACACUAACUGGAGGGCCGAACCCACUAAUGUUGAAAAAUUAGGGGAUGAGCUGUGGAUCGGAGUGAAAGGCUAAUCAAGCCCGGAGAUAGCUGGUUCUCCUCGAAAUCUAUUUAGGUAGAGCGUCGUGUCUAACCCUGGGGGGUAGAGCACUGUUUGGGCUAGGGGGUCAUCCCGACUUACCAACCCCAUGCAAACUCCGAAUACCCAGGAGUUCAAUCACGGCAGACAGACGGCGGGUGCUAACGUCCGUCGUCGAGAGGGCAACAACCCAGACCGCCAGCUAAGGUCCCCAAACACUAUUAAGUGGGAAACGAUGUGGGAAGGCUUAGACAGCUAGGAGGUUGGCUUAGAAGCAGCCACCCUUUAAAGAAAGCGUAAUAGCUCACUAGUCGAGUCGGCCUGCGCGGAAGAUGUAACGGGGCUAAAUAGUGUACCGAAGCUGCGGAUGCCACUUUGUGGCAUGGUAGAGGAGCGUUCUGUAAGCCGUUGAAGGUGAACCGGGAGGUUUGCUGGAGGUAUCAGAAGUGCGAAUGCUGACAUGAGUAACGACAAGGGGGGUGAAAAACCUCCCCGCCGGAAGAUCAAGGUUUCCUGCGCAACGCUAAUCGGCGCAGGGUGAGUCGGCCCCUAAGGCGAGGCAGAAAUGCGUAGUCGAUGGGAAGCAGGUUAAUAUUCCUGCACUUCUUGUUAUUGCGAUGGAGGGACGGAGAAGGCUAGGCCAGCGCGGCGUUGGUUGUCCGCGUUUAAGGUUGUAGGCUGGUGACUUAGGUAAAUCCGGGUUGCCUUAAGGCCGAGAGCUGAUGACGAGUCCAAGGGGAGACCCGCGGAUGAAGUGGUUGAUGCCCUGCUUCCAGGAAAAGCUUCUAAGCUUCAGGUAACAAGGAACCGUACUGUAAACCGACACAGGUGAUCAGGUAGAGAAUACCAAGGCGCUUGAGAGAACUCGGGUGAAGGAACUAGGCAAAAUGGUACCGUAACUUCGGGAGAAGGUACGCCGGUUUUGGUGAUGGGACUUGCUCCCUGAGCUGAGGCUGGCCGAAGUGACCAGGUGGCUGCGACUGUUUAUUAAAAACAUAGCACUCUGCAAACACGUAAGUGGACGUAUAGGGUGUGACGCCUGCCCGGUGCCGGAAGGUUAAUUGAUGGGGUUAGCUUCGGCGAAGCUCUUGAUCGAAGCCCCGGUAAACGGCGGCCGUAACUAUAACGGUCCUAAGGUAGCGAAAUUCCUUGUCGGGUAAGUUCCGACCUGCACGAAUGGCGUAACGAUGGCCACACUGUCUCCACCCGAGACUCAGUGAAAUUGAAAUCGCUGUUAAGAUGCAGUGUACCCGCGGCUAGACGGAAAGACCCCGUGAACCUUUACUACAGCUUUGCACUGGACUUUGACCUUACUUGUGUAGGAUAGCUGGGAGGCUUUGAAGCAGUGGCGCCAGCCAUUGUGGAGCCGACCUUGAAAUACCAGCCUGGUAAUGUUGGGGUUCUAACCUGGGUCCCUUAUCGGGAUCGGGGACAGUGUAUGGUGGGUAGUUUGACUGGGGCGGUCUCCUCCCAAAGUGUAACGGAGGAGCACGAAGGUGCGCUAAUCAUGGUCGGAAAUCAUGAGGUUAGUGUAAAGGCACAAGCGCGCUUGACUGCGAGUCUGACAAGACGAGCAGGUACGAAAGUAGGUCUUAGUGAUCCGGUGGUUCUGUAUGGAAGGGCCAUCGCUCAACGGAUAAAAGGUACUCCGGGGAUAACAGGCUGAUACCGCCCAAGAGUUCACAUCGACGGCGGUGUUUGGCACCUCGAUGUCGGCUCAUCACAUCCUGGGGCUGAAGCCGGUCCCAAGGGUAUGGCUGUUCGCCAUUUAAAGUGGUACGCGAGCUGGGUUUAGAACGUCGUGAGACAGUUCGGUCCCUAUCUGCCGUGGGCGUUGGAGAAUUGAGGGAAGCUGCUCCUAGUACGAGAGGACCGGAGUGGACGAACCUCUGGUGUUCCGGUUGUAUCGCCAGAUGCAUUGCCGGGUAGCUAUGUUCGGACGGGAUAACCGCUGAAAGCAUCUAAGCGGGAAGCCCCUCCCAAGAUGAGUUCUCCCUGGGGACUUGAUCCCCCUAAAGGGCCGUGGAAGACCACCACGUUGAUAGGCUGGGUGUGGAAGCGUUGUAAGGCGUUAAGCUAACCAGUACUAAUUGCCCGUGAGGCUUGACCAUAUAUCCUAAG